AAAAGUGAGGGCUGCAACUCUGAAAGCACUUGCCCUGUCCUCCUAUGGGGCUUGCAGCUCUAGUCUCUUAAGAAGACUCGGCUUAACAGGGGAUGGGAGGCCUCGGGGAUGGGACCAGGGACUCAGUGGUGUUGAAAUUGACUGGUGACGACCAAUGCUAGAGACCAAAGGACGUUUCCGGCAGCUGUUCCACCCGUUGGGAAACGUGCCGCAGUUCUCGAUUUCUGUUUGAAAGUUUCCUUCCUUAAAUGGAACGUUAUGUAGACGCAGGAGUGUGAACGCACAACACUCAGUUCAGGAUCCAUGUAAGGAACGAGGAGGGGAAAGAUCUGUAUCAAAAACAAUUUUUUUUAAUGUAUAAAAAAACAUGACUGGGGAAACGCUCAAUAACUGUGGACAGCAAGGACACACACUGUACAUUCCCUGAAACUUGUAAAUCAGAGUAGCUGGUGCUAACACACGCACCUACAAGCAUUUUGAGCGGGAACUGCACUUUAACCCUGGCCAGGGAGGGGUUCCGAGUGCAGCCUGGACCUGGCGGCGAGGAUUGUGAGGUUUUGGAUACUUUCUGAGGGUGCAAUCAGGCGGCAACCCAAUAACAAGGGUGUCCCGCCGCACAGCACUCCCCGGAUAACCCAGCCCCUGUAAUCUGAGCAACAGUUUCCAAAGACCUUCUCUGCAGCCGGAGCCUGACGGGUAUCCAGGGUAACCGGGAGGGGGCGGAGCUUCGGGUUAGGCCCCCGCGAGGUUCUCGCCGCAGCCAAUAACGAACCGUGUAUUCCCAGCCCAUUGUUGUUUACUGCUGACCCCGCAGCGCUCCGCUAGGAGAUUGGCCGUUUGGGGAAGGGGGCGGAGCCUCUCCCGCCCUGCAGCCACCUUUCGGCUCCAUUCACAAAAUUCCGGCUUUCUUGAUCACGUGGUUGGGGGCGUGGAGGGGCAGGGGAAAUGACACAACAAAGGCCCAAGUUUCCCAAACCACAAAACUUUUUUCUGCCUCGCUACCUCCUCUAUGUCCCGUCCCUAAACAAAUACUAGAAGACGAGGAAAAGGAGCCUUGGGUCUGGGAGCAACAACCAGAGGGAGAGAAAAAAGUUCGAAAUGAAAGGAAGGCUCACAGGGGGAUAAUUGUAGGGUGCACUGCAUACGAGAAAAGCUGCGAAAGAGGAAAGGAAGAGAAUUCAGGAGAGUGGGAGAAAGCCUUAAGGACAGACUAGUAACUUUUGCUUGCUGUUUUAGGUCACUGAUUUUACAAGUGCGAACAGUUCGAUUGUAGAUGGAGUUCAGUUUUCUCACUUAAUACUCUGUAAUUUUCAUUUCUACUUUGGAUUGAUCCCAGUUUCUUGUUAACAUUUUAAAGCUUCUUUCAGGAAUAUUGCAGGUUUUCGCUGGCUGACAGUUUUAGUUUCCAUUUCCCAAGUCAUCACACUUUCACAGGCCCCCAAAAGCACCCCCCUGUCCCCACUAGCCCUGGACUGGCAAACCGAAAGGGCACGCUAAGCCUCCAAUUUUACUACGUAUUGCGGGGGCUCCAUAUUUCGGUUUUGGAGUCUUUAAACGAACUCAACUUUUAACUAUUUGAUCUUAACAGUAAUUGAUGUUAUGUGAAUAAGCGGACAGUCUUGCUACACCUCAGUUUUGUUGAAAUAGCAUAAAAUUUUGAGAUAAAUAUGUCCCCCUAGCAAGUGAGCUAUUGAACCAGACUCCAUUCUCUCUUCUGUCCUUUCUGUGCCGUGAUGCUUCGUGAGACACAAGCUUUUAGUCUGGCUGCUGUUUAUCUUCUAUGCUUGGCACUGGGAAAAACCAAUAGACCUAGUGGCGGGAGACAUCGCAAGGGCUGAAAAUUCGUCGUUCAGAAAAUGUUACCCUUGUGGAAAAUGUCUACAGAGGCAGCUGAUGCAUCCCCAGGGAGGAACAUCAAAAGUUGCACAAAGUUUCCACUACCUUUGAAAGUGAUACCACUGAAAACCGGAGAAGUUAAGCAAUUUAAUCAAGUUCACAGAGUUAAGUUCCUGAACUCAUGAGCAAGAAAUGUCAGAUGAUCUUUCAUGUCGUUAAAUUGAAUUGAAUCUGAUCCCAAGCCUCUUCUUG